rnacentral:rRNA from 1 species
UGGGGAAUCUUGCACAAUGAGGGCAACCCUGAUGCAGCGACGCCGCGUGAGCGAUGAAGCCCUUCGGGGCGUAAAGCUCUUUCGACCGGAACGAUAAUGACGGUACCGGGAGAAGAAGCUGCGGCUAACUACGUGCCAGCAGCCGCGGUAAUACGUAGGCAGCAAGCGUUGUUCGGAGUUACUGGGCGUAAAGAGUGCGUAGGCGGUUUUCUAAGUUCGGUGUGAAAUCUCCCGGCUUAACUGGGAGGGUGCGCCGAAGACUGGGAAGCUGGAGUGUGGGAAAGGCAGGCGGAAUUCCUGGUGUAGCGGUGAAAUGCGUAGAUAUCAGGAGGAACACCGGCGGUGUAGACGGCUUGCUAGACCAUAACUGACGCUGAGGCACGAAAGCGUGGGUAGCAAACA